rnacentral:rRNA from 1 species
UGACCUCAAAUCAGGUAGGACUACCCGCUGAACUUAAGCAUAUCAAUAAGCGGAGGAAAAGAAACUAACAAGGAUUCCCCUAGUAACUGCGAGUGAAGCGGGAAAAGCUCAAAUUUAAAAUCUGGCAGUCUUUGGCUGUCCGAGUUGUAAUCUAGAGAAGCAUUAUCCGCGCUGGACCGUGUACAAGUCUCCUGGAAUGGAGCGUCAUAGAGGGUGAGAAUCCCGUCUUUGACACGGACUGCCAGGGCUUUUGUGAUGUGCUCUCAAAGAGUCGAGUUGUUUGGGAAUGCAGCUCAAAAUGGGUGGUAAAUUCCAUCUAAAGCUAAAUAUUGGCGAGAGACCGAUAGCGAACAAGUACCGUGAGGGAAAGAUGAAAAGAACUUUGGAAAGAGAGUUAAACAGUACGUGAAAUUGCUGAAAGGGAAACGCUUGAAGUCAGUCGCGUUGUCCAGGGAUCAACUCUUGCUUUUGCUUGGUGUAUUUUCUGGUUAACGGGUCAGCAUCAAUUUUGACUAUUGGAAAAAGAUCAAGGGAAUGUGGCAUCUUUAGAUGUGUUAUAGCCCUUGGUUGCAUACAUUAGUUGGGAUUGAGGAACUCAGCACGCCGAAAGGCCGAGUGUUUAACUACGUACGUGCUUAGGAUGC